CACGUAGGGUGCAAGCGUUGUCCGGAAUCAUUGGGCGUAAAGAGCUCGUAGGCGGCUUAGUUAGUCGGGUGUGAAAACCCCAGGCUCAACCUGGGGACGCCACCCGAUACUGCUAUAGCUAGAGUCCAGUAGGGGAGUGUGGAAUUCCCAGUGUAGCGGUGAAAUGCGCAGAUAUUGGGAGGAACACCAGCGGCGAAGGCGGCACUCUGGGCUGGUACUGACGCUGAGGAGCGAAAGCGUGGGUAGCGAACAGG
rnacentral:rRNA from 1 species